GGGACCAGUCAGAGUGCUGGGAGCAGGGCAGAGCUGCAUCCCGCUGCCCAGGCUGCAGAGCCUGGGAAGUUCUGUAUAAAAAGCUGGCUCUGGAUGUGUGCCAAGAGGUAGUAAACAAACUGGGAGCUCUGUUUUUCCUCUGGCUCUCCCUCCAGAGCCUGGUCUGUGUGUGCAGUGAGUGCCGGGCGGAUCGCUCACAUUCUAAAAGUGGCGAUUUUGGGGGAGCACCGAGGAGGGGCUGGAAUUACCCCUGCCUUCCAGAGUGCCAGGGGAGCAGCAGGAGGCUGCCUGCACUCUGGAUUCAGGCCAAAGAGGUUAAAUGACACGAGACCAAAGUUCAGAGCUGCCUUCAAAGCCCAUUCCGGUGCCGGAAGCGUGAAAGCAGAUCCCUGCGAUGGAUGAACAUGAAAAGCCAAACAUAUCGAUCACUGUGUGCAGCGCUGGCAGCCCAGCUGUGGUGGCAGCAGCCUUGCAGGCUGUGCUGCAGUCGCACAAUCACACACAAGGUGAGGAGGAGGAGGCAGAGGAGCCGGGACCGGGUGGGUUUUAUUCCCGGUGCUGUCCCCGUGGCUGUUCCCGGUGCCUGUGUCCGCCCCAGGGUGGACCUGCCCAGCAGCCUGUCUGGGUGUCUGCUGGGUGUCUGCAACCUGCUGCACCUCUGCCAGGCUGGGAGCAGUGUCCCUGCUGCAGGAAUCAUCAGGACCACGGAGCUGCCCUGCCCGAGGGGCCCAAACGCCUGUGGCCUCUGCUCCACGACCCCCAGAGCACGUGGUGUGCAAGUGGGAGCAGCUGAGCUGUGGUGCUGGGAAAACUCUGCAGCUGCCAGGGAAGAAAGAGCUGAGAAGGUGGAGCUGUCACCCACAGCUGGACACACUGGGGCACCUCAGGAGGACCUUGGUUGCUAAGUAUGAUCUAGAGCUGCCUUUGCCCUCUCUCAUGUCUGUCCCUGUAGAUUUUCUUACACACAAACACAAACAUUAAACUGAUAAAGCUGUUGCUUUACUCUUGUCUUUGCAGCAGCCCUGAGGGACCCUGGUGACACCAGAACCCCAUUCCCCAGUACUGGCCCAUGGGAUCUGGCUCUCCAGGAGGUGAAGGUUGGCCAAGGUGCCAGAGUUACCAGGAAAACAAAGAAGCUGUUCAGUGAUGAACCAACAUUAUCAUCUGCUCCACAGAAUGUCUGCUGCUGUCCCAGACUGGUGGAACACAAGGAGCCCAAUCCCACUUGGAAACUAUUUUCAAGGUCUGAGACUGAUAGUGAAAAAAAAAAAAUAAAUCAAAAUCACAUUUUUACCUGAAAACUCAGCACUCAUGGUGUGAAAUAAUCUGUCUGGAGUGAAUUUACUGCUCCUCAAGCUUUGUUCCUUCCCUGUGGUUGGGGGUACCUGUGGGU